rnacentral:lncRNA from 1 species
GAGGUAGAGCAAGGCUGUUCCUUGCUGGGUAGCACUUCAGGAUCUUUAUGCCUUUGGGAAGGCAAGGGAAUCAGGAUAAUGCUUCCAGGAUUUUGCCCAUUGUUGGGAGUCGAGCUCAGCUUCUGUCUUUUACUGCUGUUAAGGGUGCUAUCGGAAGAGUAAUGUGGUCCAACCGCCUGACCAUGUUCUUCGGUAAGCGUACUCUUCUCAAAACAUUCCACUUCGUUCUCUCUUUUCUUUUGACGGUCUCCUCCUUUUUUAUCUUCUUUGCUCCUCUCAUCUAUAUGCCUUUUCUUAUGACCAUGCUUUUUACUUUCAGCUUCACCACUGUCCCGAGACUUAUCUCUUUCUUUCUUCUCCCGUUUUUUCUCUUUCUUCUCCUUCUUUUCUUUCUUCCUUUCCUUCUUGUCCUUCUCUUCUUCUCUAUUAAUCUUAAUCUAUUCAAUUAGUGCCUCAUCGCGGAUUCCGUUCUUUACGUACCCCGGUGGAGGAUACGGAAAACAUCGAGACAUGCAUCUGUUGAUUCACCACCAACAACAACAAACGGAAAAACGAAACCCUAGCUCGAAUAAGAUCGGGAUCGGAUCAAGAAACGGAAAAAAAUUAAAAAUUUGUAGCCCUAAAAUCUUUGGGCGAUAUUUAGGAAAACCCCGAAUUUAUCUUGCCAAAAAGCGAAAAAUAUUUGAAAAAGAAAAAAAUGCUAAUUAAAAGAGGGGCGAUUCUCUAAAUACUUUUUUUAUUUAAAAUGGUGAAAAUAAUUUAAAAGUUGUUGAAUAAUCAAUGAUUUUAAAAGUAUUUAUAAAAAAAG